AUUUCUUACAGUUUUCAGUGAGACUGAACUCGAGAUAAUCCCAAGUGCAUGAGUCACCACUCGCAAGAACACACACACACACACCCACACUACACAACAACUGCUACUUCUCCUCCUUCAACUACUACUAUUUUAAUAGAAACAUUUCAAGUCACAAGCAUUUCUGAAAUAUUCAUUUAUUAAAAUGAUGCGUACAUUCAAGUUCAGCAUUAAACAAUUGUGCUGUUGACAGAACACUCACUGGAACAACUUCCUCAACACAAAAAACAAUUUACUCAAGGGAAGUUUAAAGUUUUUCGACAUUCGAUUGUGUUGAAAAAAGCCUCAGCAAUUCAAAGUGUUUACAUGCAUGUUGAGCGUUCGGCUUUCUUUGGGUACCUUAGAGAUGACAGCCUAGCAUGAGCGUGUUGUUAUGAGCGUGUUACUGUGAGUUUUAAACCGUUCAACUGACAGUAAGGGUCAGACUAUGGCCACCCUUUGUAACUAAAAUCCUUCUCUAGGGGAGUGACAAGGUGAGUUGGGAGAGGAUGUGAGUCACCUCAGGGCAUGAGAGUGAGCGGGAAAGCCCCAACGAUACUAGAGAAGCUCCAGAAAGGACACAGGAGACACUCAAAGACACUGGAUUUUUCCAAACAACUUAGGUAGAGGGGACUAAUACAGGGUUUUUGAGAGAGUUGGGACAUACAGUCUGAAAACAAAUGGGGGUGGGUGCCACUUUUUAACUAGUCCCUGUAUCUGUACUCAAAGGCACACAAAGGCCGACUCUCUCUCUCUCUCUUUCUCUCUCACACGCACGCACACACACACACACACACACGGCGCACACAGCGCACACACACACACAUGCACAGAUCCACCCCCAUUGCCCCAAGCCCUUUCUGUGUUUAUGGUUUCAUGACAGCACUUUUUAGCAAAGGCAACCACUUCAGUGACUAACAAAAGAGGCGUGGCAACUAAGAUAAUUCAAUACAAGGAAAAUUCAAAAAAUAACUACCACCAGGUUAGCCAAUGAAAAUGUAAAGGAGGGGCACAUUUCGGAUUGGCCCAGUGGCUUGAGUUGCAUGGAAAAGAAUGGAUGCCAAUAAAUAGUUAAGCAAGCAUGACUCCCAAACCAAAAUAAAACAAAGCAAACAACAAAAAGACUAAUUAAAAUAAAAUAAACAGCAAUUAGUGAGGCAGAGUCAUUCAGCUAGUGAGAGAACAACAACAACAGGAGACCCAUACUGUAAACAACCUGAGAAUAAUCCGAACUAAAAGAAUGCACAAGAUUUCAAAUUUAAAAAGAGAUCCCAAAACAAUUUACAAAAAAACAAACAAAAAAAAAAAAAACGAUAUUUUUGUCAUAUUUACACAUGGUAUAUUACGUACUUUAUUUGCAAUUAAUGGUACUUUUAUGAAGACAUGGCUGACACUAAUUCAAGAAAAUGUUGUCUAUGUGAGAAAAUACUGACUCCAUGUCUUAGUACACAAAUACACAUAAUAUUUCCCUGAUGCAGACACUGUGUUCUGUACAUGGGUUUGGAAAAUCUUUAGCUAAACAACGUCUGUAUCAAAACGACUUAUUUUAACGACUUAUUUUAACUCUUCUUCGCUUCUUUGCACUCGAUUUUUUUUUUUUUUUGUCAAUUACAGGUUGUAGAACGAAUUUUUUUUAAGUUCCAUUUAUCAAUUGGCAAAAUCACAAAGCCUCAGGUCAUACACAAAUACUUCUUUUUGGAUUGCUCGAUGUGCAUGUAACAGACAGCACUGCAAACAGGCAUUGGUAUUAGUCAUCUGUUCCUACACUACUGAAACUACUACUACUGGUUUUCAAACCAGACGUUUCUGAUGUGCUUUCCCUGCCACAACAAACACAUUGACCUCCAAAGAACACAGAUGCUAUGAUGAUUUAUAUCCCCCUUGCACAGCCCUCCUCCUCCCACGUAUAUGCUCAUUCUAAGGGUAGGUGUUUAUGUUAGGGCACGUACCCUGGAAUGCCCUAUGUGUGAGCAGUCUGACUUGGAUUCAUCGCUACCUAAUAAAUCUUGGGGCCUCUAUAGUCUGGAGUGACUGAAGAAGGGCCAUUAAAAUUUGUUUCAAAAAUCAUCACGUCAGUAUAUUUAUGGACCCUCCCCCCGCCCCCUUAAGAAAAUGAAAAGAUAGUUUAAAGCAUGUAUUUGGUUAUAGUCUUUGUGCAGUGGUCUCUAAUUUGUUGUGUUUAAGCUGGCAAACUUCAAACACACUUCACUCGAUUGAAAAGUGUGAAAUGUAUGGUCUCCUGCCAUACAACGUCAGAAGUGAUUCAAACAGACGGUACGAGCGUAACAAAUCUGCAAAAGCAACGCCUAGGAAAAAGAAUUAACGUUUCCCUCCAAAAGGAAUGCCAUUCUACCACAAAAAAUCUCUCACCUUCAUCUUCUUUCAAAAGCCUGAGGCUUCCCCCUCCCCCUAUCUGUUGUACCUACACACACACACACACACACACACACACACACACACACACACACACACACACACACACACACACACACACACACACACACACACACAAACACACACACACACACACACACACACACACACACACACACACACAAACACACACACACACAGCCUGCUGAGACAUGUUGGUCUUAAGAUUCUACACCCUGCCAGGACAUCCGCAGAAAAAAAAACUAAAUUUUAAAAACAAAGCACUGUCCUUGGGGAUCAAACAGACACGAGGCGAUACUGCAAGUGAUAUUGAUGCUUUUCUGUUUAAUUUAACUCAAUGUUCUUCAGCACCACAAACAAUGACUGCGCUUUACAGAGACACGUGCUCAGGCCCCACCAAGAGCAAGCUAAGCUCAUACCUGGGGGGUGAGGUGCAUCUGCCUCAGGACAGCUUAAUGCUAGCAUUUAGCACAUGAACUUUUCAAAGCCAGCUUUCUCACACUUUUUUUAUCAUUUCAUUCUCUGGGCUAUCUGGUCCCUUCUUUAUUAGCCUCAGUUGUCCCUGAAGGCCGUGGUUGUGUCAGGAAUGUGCUCAUCUCAGAGAGCGUCAACCUUUUUAGGCUAGAGCCUACAGGUUCAUUCCAGACCAAGUUUCGUUUACUUCAGGAGUUGUCCUCCCUUCCAAAAAAAGAAAAGAAAAGAAAAGAAUAGAAAAAACAAACAUGAACGACAAUCCACUUUUUUUUUAAGGGGGUUGGGGGUAACAGGAGGGUUUAAGGUUUCAGAAGGUGGACAAAAGGGAGUGGUCCACUGUAGUUUAGGAGAACGGGGGACACAAUGGAGAGAGGAGUCAGUUGGGUUGGGGCAGGAGGGGUAAUGAGCUGGAGCAGAAACCCACAGAUAAGGAGAAGUGCCCGACCCCUCCCCAUUCACCACCCCAUCUCAUUCAGUCUUCAAAUUCCAGAAUCUCUUACCCCUCAGGUGGGGGUGGAGAGGUGGUCGGUUCGUUUUCAUCCAAGGAGAGGGCGUGAGUGUGGGGUCAGGCACAGAGUGGGGGUGGGGACUCCAGCAAGACGGGCCAGGGGUUGGAACCAGGUGUGUGAGAGAGGGACAGCAGGUUUUUCUUUUGGGGAAGAGAAAGAACACGCCAUGCCCUGGGGCUGGGAUGGCUGGGAUGGAAGUCAGGGCACCUGUGAUAUACGACCCCAACGAGCAAGUUCUUGAAGUUGCCCCGUGGGAUUCCCAGCAAGAGAAGAAAUGAAGACAGCUGAUUUUUGGGGUGUUUUACUGACCCUGAGAAAAAAGGAGAGGAGUCGUUUUAGUCACACAUUAAAAAACUAACAUACCUCCUGUUGACACAUAGCACCACAUGAUGUGAAUGAUAAGAAUCUCUGUUUGCUAUAAAUGUUGACACUUUCCAGACAGUUGAUUAACAUUAUAGUGAUGUUGCAAAAUGUCUCCACCCCACUGAGGAACAUCUCCAGUAAUAGAUGACAUGUGGGCAAGAGACAGCGACAUUUCUAGGGCCGCUCAGCUCGCUACUCUGUGACUAAUAUGAGCACGGUGGCGGAUGACGGUCCUUCGAGAAUCUGAAAUGAAACCAAAAUCGAAAUAAACUGCACUCUGUGAACCUCACACACACACACACACACACACACACACACACACACACACACA
ensembl:lncRNA